rnacentral:rRNA from 1 species
UUAAGCGACUAAGCGUACACGGUGGAUGCCCUGGCAGUCAGAGGCGAUGAAGGACGUGCUAAUCUGCGAAAAGCGUCGGUAAGGUGAUAUGAACCGUUACAGCCGGCGAUGUCCGAAUGGGGAAACCCAGUGCAAUUCGUUGCACUAUCGUUAACUGAAUACAUAGGUUAACGAGGCGAACCGGGGGAACUGAAACAUCUAAGUACCCCGAGGAAAAGAAAUCAACCGAGAUUCCCCCAGUAGCGGCGAGCGAACGGGGAGCAGCCCAGAGUCUGAAUCAGCUUGUGUGUUAGUGGAACGGUCUGGAAAGUCCGACGGUACAGGGUGAUAGUCCCGUACACCAAAAUGCACAGGCUGUGAACUCGAAGAGUAGGGCGGGACACGUGGUAUCCUGUCUGAAUAUGGGGGGACCAUCCUCCAAGGCUAAAUACUCCUGACUGACCGAUAGUGAACCAGUACCGUGAGGGAAAGGCGAAAAGAACCCCGGCGAGGGGAGUGAAAAAGAACCUGAAACCGUGUACGUACAAGCAGUGGGAGCACCUUCGGGUGUGACUGCGUACCUUUUGUAUAAUGGGUCAGCGACUUAUAUUCUGUAGCAAGGUUAACCGUAUAGGGGAGCCGCAGGGAAACCGAGUCUUAACUGGGCGUUAAGUUGCAGGGUAUAGACCCGAAACCCGGUGAUCUAGCCAUGGGCAGGUUGAAGGUUGGGUAACACUAACUGGAGGACCGAACCGACUAAUGUUGAAAAAUUAGCGGAUGACUUGUGGCUGGGGGUGAAAGGCCAAUCAAACCGGGAGAUAGCUGGUUCUCCCCGAAAGCUAUUUAGGUAGCGCCUCGUGAACUCAUCUUCGGGGGUAGAGCACUGUUUCGGCUAGGGGGUCAUCCCGACUUACCAACCCGAUGCAAACUACGAAUACCGAAGAAUGUUAUCACGGGAGACACACGGCGGGUGCUAACGUCCGUCGUGAAGAGGGAAACAACCCAGACCGCCAGCUAAGGUCCCAAAGUCAUGGUUAAGUGGGAAACGAUGUGGGAAGGCACAGACAGCCAGGAUGUUGGCUUAGAAGCAGCCAUCAUUUAAAGAAAGCGUAAUAGCUCACUGGUCGAGUCGGCCUGCGCGGAAGAUGUAACGGGGCUAAACCAUGCACCGAAGCUGCGGCAGCGACACUAUGUGUUGUUGGGUAGGGGAGCGUUCUGUAAGCCUGCGAAGGUGUGCUGUGAGGCAUGCUGGAGGUAUCAGAAGUGCGAAUGCUGACAUAAGUAACGAUAAAGCGGGUGAAAAGCCCGCUCGCCGGAAGACCAAGGGUUCCUGUCCAACGUUAAUCGGGGCAGGGUGAGUCGACCCCUAAGGCGAGGCCGAAAGGCGUAGUCGAUGGGAAACAGGUUAAUAUUCCUGUACUUGGUGUUACUGCGAAGGGGGGACGGAGAAGGCUAUGUUAGCCGGGCGACGGUUGUCCCGGUUUAAGCAUGUAGGCUGAUUGUCCAGGCAAAUCCGGAUAAUCAAGGCUGAGGUGUGAUGACGAGGCACUACGGUGCUGAAGUAACAAAUGCCCUGCUUCCAGGAAAAGCCUCUAAGCAUCAGGUAACAUCAAAUCGUACCCCAAACCGACACAGGUGGUCAGGUAGAGAAUACCAAGGCGCUUGAGAGAACUCGGGUGAAGGAACUAGGCAAAAUGGUGCCGUAACUUCGGGAGAAGGCACGCUGGUGUGUAGGUGAAGUCCCUGCGGAUGGAGCUGAGACCAGUCGAAGAUACCAGCUGGCUGCAACUGUUUAUUAAAAACACAGCACUGUGCAAACACGAAAGUGGACGUAUACGGUGUGACGCCUGCCCGGUGCCGGAAGGUUAAUUGAUGGGGUUAUCCGUAAGGAGAAGCUCUUGAUCGAAGCCCCGGUAAACGGCGGCCGUAACUAUAACGGUCCUAAGGUAGCGAAAUUCCUUGUCGGGUAAGUUCCGACCUGCACGAAUGGCGUAAUGAUGGCCAGGCUGUCUCCACCCGAGACUCAGUGAAAUUGAACUCGCUGUGAAGAUGCAGUGUACCCGCGGCAAGACGGAAAGACCCCGUGAACCUUUACUAUAGCUUGACACUGAACAUUGAGCCUUGAUGUGUAGGAUAGGUGGGAGGCUUUGAAGCGUGGACGCCAGUCUGCGUGGAGCCAACCUUGAAAUACCACCCUUUAAUGUUUGAUGUUCUAACGUUGGCCCCUGACCGGGGUUGCGGACAGUGUCUGGUGGGUAGUUUGACUGGGGCGGUCUCCUCCCAAAGCGUAACGGAGGAGCACGAAGGUUAGCUAAUCCUGGUCGGACAUCAGGAGGUUAGUGCAAUGGCAUAAGCUAGCUUGACUGCGAGCGUGACGGCGCGAGCAGGUGCGAAAGCAGGUCAUAGUGAUCCGGUGGUUCUGAAUGGAAGGGCCAUCGCUCAACGGAUAAAAGGUACUCCGGGGAUAACAGGCUGAUACCGCCCAAGAGUUCAUAUCGACGGCGGUGUUUGGCACCUCGAUGUCGGCUCAUCACAUCCUGGGGCUGAAGUAGGUCCCAAGGGUAUGGCUGUUCGCCAUUUAAAGUGGUACGCGAGCUGGGUUUAGAACGUCGUGAGACAGUUCGGUCCCUAUCUGCCGUGGGCGCUGGAGAAUUGAGGGGGGCUGCUCCUAGUACGAGAGGACCGGAGUGGACGCAUCACUGGUGUUCGGGUUGUCAUGCCAAUGGCACUGCCCGGUAGCUAAAUGCGGAAGAGAUAAGUGCUGAAAGCAUCUAAGCACGAAACUUGCCCCGAGAUGAGUUCUCCCUGAGACUUUAAGUCUCCUGAAGGAACGUUGAAGACGACGACGUUGAUAGGCCGGGUGUGUAAGCGCAGCGAUGCGUUGAGCUAACCGGUACUAAUGAACCGUGAGGCUUAACCUU